UACGUAGGGCGCAAGCGUUGUCCGGAAUUAUUGGGCGUAAAGCGCGCGUAGGCGGCUGGAUAAGUCGAUUGUGAAAGCCCCGGGCCUCAACCUGGGAAUUGCAGUCGAGACUGUUCGGCUAGAGUGUGGGAGAGGGCAGUGGAAUUCCCGGUGUAGCGGUGAAAUGCGUAGAUAUCGGGAGGAACAUCAGUGGCGAAGGCGACUGCCUGGCCCAACACUGACGCUGAGGUGCGAAAGCGUGGGUAGCAAACAGG
rnacentral:rRNA from 1 species